rnacentral:rRNA from 1 species
GCACCCCGCUGACGAGCGGCGGACGGGUGAGUAAUGCAUAGGAAACUGCCCAGUAGUGGGGGAUAGCCCGGGGAAACCCGGAUUAAUACCGCGUACGCCCUUCGGGGGAAAGCAGGGGAUCUUCGGACCUUGCGCUAUUGGAUGUGCCUAUGUCGGAUUAGCUAGUUGGUGGGGUAAAGGCCUACCAAGGCGACGAUCCGUAGCUGGUCUGAGAGGAUGAUCAGCCACAUCGGGACUGAGACACGGCCCGAACUCCUACGGGAGGCAGCAGUGGGGAAUAUUGGACAAUGGGGGCAACCCUGAUCCAGCCAUGCCGCGUGUGUGAAGAAGGCUUUCGGGUUGUAAAGCACUUUCAGUGAGGAGGAAAAGUUGGUCGUUAAUACCGGCCAGCCUUGACGUUACUCACAGAAGAAGCACCGGCUAACUCCGUGCCAGCAGCCGCGGUAAUACGGAGGGUGCAAGCGUUAAUCGGAAUUACUGGGCGUAAAGCGCGCGUAGGUGGUUUGAUAAGCGAGAUGUGAAAGCCCCGGGCUUAACCUGGGAACGGCAUUUCGAACUGUCAGGCUAGAGUAUGGUAGAGGAGUGUGGAAUUUCCUGUG